rnacentral:lncRNA from 1 species
GUGCAGUAGCUGUCCACCCUAAGUGGAUAAGCUCAGAAGUAACUAACUCUCCAUAUUCCUGCAGGAGCAGAUAGGGCUAGAAUAUCACGCCCACAAUGGCAUGUCCAAUAGCCCAACAACCUCAGAACUGCAUGUUCCCACGAUUGUUUAACCAUAUUCUCUAUAAAUAACCAAAGUCCUGAGGACCUAGGUAAGUAAUCCAUCUCUCAGAGAACCACUUGCUGGUUUUGCUGUUCUUUGAUUCCUGACUUAAGCGAUGGAGGAUCCUCAUCGAAGUGAAGCCUCCGGCUCGAACUUUAUUUUACAGAUCACUCCAGCACCCCUGUGCAAGGCCC